AAUAAAUUUUGCAUGCUCAUGGGGAGUUCAAAUGUUGCAUCUAAAAGAAGAUUGGCAAGUUUGGUGUUCAGAGACUCUAAAGAUCUUUGGUUGGAUUGAGAGGUAUCAGAUAGAAACGCAAGACAUGCAUGGUAUGGAAUAUUUGGGCCAUAGAGUUUUAGGUGUAUCUAUGAACAUUCUUCCUCCCGUCUUAUCCCGUAACUGUGCCCACUAAAUUCUAAAAGCAUCCUCCACGACCAUAUAGUUACAGAUCCGGAUUUUAUUCUAGCUACAGUAGUCGAUCCAACUCUGGAGCUAUCAGAGGUGGCAUCUGGGUUUUCAAUCGAUGUUAACUGCUAUAGUUACGGAAUCAAAUUUUCGUCUAGCUACAAUAGUCGAUCUAGCUCCGGAGCUAUCGGAGGUGGCAUCUGGGUUUUCAAUUAAUGGUAACUGCUACAGUUACGAAACUGAAUUUUCAUCUAGCCGUAGUAGUCGAUCCAGCUAUGGAGCUGCACAAUUAUUUUAUGAGUAGUUGUAGUGUUGCAAGCAUUCAACAUAUAUUGAGAGGAAACCAAAGCCAAUGGUAAAAUUUUCUAUCUGAUCUGUCAGAUAAAAAAACUCUAUCUCUGGCAGUUAUAUGUAUGCUCUUAAAAUUUAAGCG
rnacentral:lncRNA from 1 species